GACGAACGCUGGCGGCGUGCCUAAUACAUGCAAGUUGAGCGCUGAAGGCUGGUACUUGUACCAACUGGAUGAGCAGCGAACGGGUGAGUAACGCGUGGGGAAUCUGCCUUUGAGCGGGGGACAACAUUUGGAAACGAAUGCUAAUACCGCAUAAAAACUUUAAACACAAGUUUUAAGUUUGAAAGAUGCAAUUGCAUCACUCAAAGAUGAUCCCGCGUUGUAUUAGCUAGUUGGUGAGGUAAAGGCUCACCAAGGCGAUGAUACAUAGCCGACCUGAGAGGGUGAUCGGCCACAUUGGGACUGGGACACGGCCCAAACUCCUACGGGAGGCAGCAGUAGGGAAUCUUCGGCAAUGGACGAAAGUCUGACCGAGCAACGCCGCGUGAGUGAAGAAGGUUGUCGGGUCGUAAAACUCUGUUGGUAGAGAAGAACGUUGGUGAGAGUGGAAAGCUCAUCAAGUGACGGUAACUACCCAGAAAGGGACGGCUAACUACGUG
rnacentral:rRNA from 1 species